AGAGUUUGAUCAUGGCUCAGAUUGAACGCUGGCGGCAGGCCUAACACAUGCAAGUCGAACGGUAACAGGAAGCAGCUUGCUGCUUUGCUGACGAGUGGCGGACGGGUGAGUAAUGUCUGGGAAACUGCCUGAUGGAGGGGGAUAACUACUGGAAACGGUGGCUAAUACCGCAUAACGUCGCAAGACCAAAGAGGGGGACCUUCGGGCCUCUUGCCAUCAGAUGUGCCCAGAUGGGAUUAGCUUGUUGGUGAGGUAACGGCUCACCAAGGCGACGAUCCCUAGCUGGUCUGAGAGGAUGACCAGCCACACUGGAACUGAGACACGGUCCAGACUCCUACGGGAGGCAGCAGUGGGGAAUAUUGCACAAUGGGCGCAAGCCUGAUGCAGCCAUGCCGCGUGUAUGAAGAAGGCCUUCGGGUUGUAAAGUACUUUCAGCGGGGAGGAAGGUGUUGUGGUUAAUAACCGCAGCAAUUGACGUUACCCGCAGAAGAAGCACCGGCUAACUCCGUGCCAGCAGCCGCGGUAAUACGGAGGGUGCAAGCGUUAAUCGGAAUUACUGGGCGUAAAGCGCACGCAGGCGGUCUGUCAAGUCGGAUGUGAAAUCCCCGGGCUCAACCUGGGAACUGCAUUCGAAACUGGCAGGCUUGAGUCUUGUAGAGGGGGGUAGAAUUCCAGGUGUAGCGGUGAAAUGCGUAGAGAUCUGGAGGAAUACCGGUGGCGAAGGCGGCCCCCUGGACAAAGACUGACGCUCAGGUGCGAAAGCGUGGGGAGCAAACAGGAUUAGAUACCCUGGUAGUCCACGCCGUAAACGAUGUCUACUUGGAGGUUGUGCCCUUGAGGCGUGGCUUCCGGAGCUAACGCGUUAAGUAGACCGCCUGGGGAGUACGGCCGCAAGGUUAAAACUCAAAUGAAUUGACGGGGGCCCGCACAAGCGGUGGAGCAUGUGGUUUAAUUCGAUGCAACGCGAAGAACCUUACCUGGUCUUGACAUCCACAGAACUUUCCAGAGAUGGAUUGGUGCCUUCGGGAACUGUGAGACAGGUGCUGCAUGGCUGUCGUCAGCUCGUGUUGUGAAAUGUUGGGUUAAGUCCCGCAACGAGCGCAACCCUUAUCCUUUGUUGCCAGCGGUCCGGCCGGGAACUCAAAGGAGACUGCCAGUGAUAAACUGGAGGAAGGUGGGGAUGACGUCAAGUCAUCAUGGCCCUUACGACCAGGGCUACACACGUGCUACAAUGGCGCAUACAAAGAGAAGCGACCUCGCGAGAGUAAGCGGACCUCAUAAAGUGCGUCGUAGUCCGGAUUGGAGUCUGCAACUCGACUCCAUGAAGUCGGAAUCGCUAGUAAUCGUGGAUCAGAAUGCCACGGUGAAUACGUUCCCGGGCCUUGUACACACCGCCCGUCACACCAUGGGAGUGGGUUGCAAAAGAAGUAGGUAGCUUAACCUUCGGGGGGGCGCUUACCACUUUGUGAUUCAUGACUGGGGUGAAGUCGUAACAAGGUAACCGUAGGGGAACCUGCGGUUG
rnacentral:rRNA from 3 species